CCAAGAGCCUAUAGUGCCAGGAAAACAGGUUUGUUUUCCUGGCACUAUUGGAUCCCUUUAAGGAUCAGUGGGAGUUUAGAGACUGUCGUGGGCCUAUAGCAGAGUGGGAGUUUGGAGAAGGUUGUUGAUCAGUGGGAGGGUGGGAGUUUUAUUACACUAAGAUCAGUGGCAGGGUGGGAGUUUAGAGAAGAUACAGGGUGAGUAGUGGGGUGAAAGUUUG